rnacentral:lncRNA from 15 species
AUGAUGCCUGCUUCUCUCCUAAAACUGGUUAAAGAUGCUGAUACAAACUCUGUGCUUCGUGACAACUGCUCAACAACUGCUCUGGCAGAUCUACAGACAGCGGAGAAUUUAACCAGACAGAAAAAGAAUUUAUGCCAAGGAGCACUGAAGGUAUUCUGGCAGCUUGUGAUGGCCCAACACUUUAGUGAGACAUUUUAUAAUGGGUUUUCCUUCACCCAUGAUAUAAUGCCAGUCACCUAGUCAGCUCUUGACCCAACGGAUGCCUCACUGACGGGUUAGCCAUGCAUGUAUCCUAUGGAAAAAUUCAACAAUUUCCUCUGUUUAUGUACAAUGUGAACAUGUUUUUUUCCAUUGAUAAAGGGUACCCAGUCUGCCUGUAUCUCUCUGCCACACACAGUUAAUAGUAGUCAUUACAAGUUAGGGAUUUAAUGUCAAAUCAUUUAAAGAGUCAUGAUAUAAAUAAACAUAUCAAGGUAUUUAACCUUCAAAUAUUUAGAGAAGCUCCCCUGAGUAUUAAGGUUCUUUUUAAGCAAUGCGCUGCUUCCCACUCACACAGUUACUCAUAUCUGCAAGCUGCCAAGAACAACUGAGCAGCAGCAGAACAGAAAAAUCAAAAGAAAUACAAAAUGCUUUCAUCUGAUGCAAGAUUAUCUCUGGUAUGAUUAAAUCACCACAAUUUGAUGACGCUGUCCAUUACUUAGGAUUCGUCAUAAUCAUAUUUAGUAUUGCAUCAUAGCUUAACAAAAACCUUCUUAGAGUUUAAAUUGACAAACAUUUACAUAAUGAGUCAGCCUGCUCAUCAGUGAAUCAACGUAGAAGUGGUACCACCUUUCAAGUUACUUUCCAUAUAUCAUCACAUGCCCACAUUUUGUAAUGUAACCUCUCCGAAGACUCUUUUCACAGAAGAAAUGUUAAAAUGUUGAAUGUUGAUAAGCACAAUUUUUACUAGUAAUAUUAACAAUGGCUCCAUUCCAUUAAGUGUCCCAGUAAGACAUAACAGUGGGUGACAAUACAAUACAAUACCAGAGCACCCUGACAAAGCACUCUAACUCUGGAACUGGCUCACCUAAAUGAAAUGAGGCCAUAAUUCAUGUUAUUAAUUCCGCCUGUGGUUUUCAUGCUUUGUCAAGUCCAGAUGUGAAAAGGGUCUAGGGGUUAAUGUAUAGUUCUGGUCUAUAAAGGAGAACAUUGAAGAUUUAAUAAUAUUUUGCAUCCUACCAGCUUGUGUGUUCGAUUUUUGCGUGUGACAUCUUAUCAAUAUUAAAUAGAAUCACUAAAAAACUCACUAAAACUUUGUCUUAUUUGGUUUAUCAUUUUUAUUCUUAAAAUCUUGUGGAAAAAGUAAUAAUGCUUCAGGGGAGGAAUGAUGAGGACAAAAUUGUGUAGGCUUGAGUGACAUCUAGUGGUGAAGUUCUAGAUUGCAACCAACUGAAUACUGCUUGCCUUACAAGUGUGUAGGAGAAACUAUGGUGGCAAUGAAACUUGCAAAAAGCACAAAAAGGCCCUACAUAGAGCAAGUGUUUGGUUUGUCCGUUCUGAGCUGCAGUGGGAAGAAACGUGGCGGUUUCAACACAGCGGACUCUGUAGAAGAGGACCCACUCUCUCUGUAGAUAAAAGCAGCUCAUUGGUAACAAAAACACACAAUUCUUAUUUUUUUAUGAUUAUGGACUUAUGGAAACAUACCUUUGUAUAUUAUAUUCCAUUUAUCCCAAUACAUCAUCCUAAAUAUUAUUGGACCUUUAAGGAUGAUGGGGUAAAUGUAUUUGUUUAAAAAAAUAAUAAUAAUUUGUGAAAAUUAGCCAAUAUAUAGCAUUACUUCAAUUAGUUACACCAUAUAUUUAAAACAAAGUAAACAUUUUUUAACAUAACUUGUUUGGACAACUUAUGUGAAAUCAAAACCUUAAACAUGAAUAUACCUCUUUCUGGCAACUGUUUCAAUAUUUAUACUUCAAGUGUCCGUUUGUACCGUCGUUUUUAUGAGACUCAAAUCGAAAUAGAACAUUUCCGGCAGACCCUGAAGGCAACAUUAGCUGUGUUAACACUAUGCUGACGUGUCGCACCUCUUGCACCGGAAGAGUUUAUUUCAAUUUGCCUACGCGGUCGAGCAGCGGCUCCAUUCGCUCCCAUUCAUUCCGCUCCCCUCAGACCCGGAAAGAUUUUGACGCGUUUGUAUGCAUGGCAAAGUGUGUUUCCGGUAUAACGUGUGUGUUGAUCGGUGUUCAGCCUUUUUCUCUUGGCUUUCAGUAGAACAGUCACUCACUUCAGAGUCCCAGCUCCCCGACCUGGUCACCCCUUAACGGCGUU